CUGUUUUAAUAUCGCGAGAGUUAGCACAGCUCCUCACUACGUAAUGUGCCGUGCUGCUUAUGGCGGCGCUGGUGACAGUGCUGAAAGCUGUUGGGUAUGAAGUGAAACUGAAUUGAUUUUUGUACCAUCUGAAACCUACUUCAAGUUCAGAUCAUUGAUCGGUCAGAAGAAACGUCAAGGAAAAAGAAAACAUAACGAACAUCCCCAAAACGACCCAGCGGUACAGCAACUGUGAAGACAAGACCAAGACGAAGAACUGCACUGCUACAAACCAGAAAAACUAAAGCAACACAAAACAACCAAAUGAGCAAACCAAAGAUUUAAGAAACAGAACCAGGCCGCAACGAGCGUAGCAACCAGCCAUCACCGUUAACAGUGAAGGCGAGACCUGAUCUGAGACAAGAAGUUUGUGCCUACUCAACAGCUUAAAAAAAAAAAGCACACGUCCCAACGCUGCACCCAAGCCCUCCUUAUCCUCCCCGCACCUCGUCCUCCUCUGGGGUGUGGAGAGGGCUGCUGUCUGCUAGUCUUUUCAGUUUUGACCUUUUUCUUUGUCAACUGCAGACCGAAUCCCUCCCUCCCUGAUCUUUUUCCCCUUCCGUUCCCUCAGUCUUUCUCUUGCAUUUCUGUUCACUAUUUUUCAAAAGCAGUGUUCAUACACCUGCACUUG